AUGUUAGUCUUCAAACUCACUAAAGGGGUGUGUAAGGGAAUAUCUGAUGCUAUUGCAAAGUUCUGGUGGGGAGAUGAUAAUGAUGGCAGAAAACUACAUUGGUGGGCAUGGUGGAAACUAUAUUUUCCAAAAGAUUAGGGAGGUAUGGGGUUUAGGGACUUACAUUCCUUCAAUCUUGCUAUGUUAGCUAAGCAAGUGUGGAGACUAUUGGAAUCCCCUGAUUCGUUAUGUGCGCAAGUGCUUCGAGCAAAAUACUAUCCUGAUGGAAACUUACUAGCUGCUGGGCCAAAGAAAGGGUCUUCCUUUACUUGGCAAAGUCUGGUUGCAGGUAUCCAGACUUUCAAAAGAGGAUGCAUAUUGAGAAUAGGAAAUGGUGAGCAAAUUAAAAUCUGGGAGGAUGCAUGGAUCCCC
rnacentral:rRNA from 1 species